GUGUGGCCACAGAAAGCGGUGUGGUCAAAAAAUUGCUGUGCCACGUGCGGAAAAACCUUUUUUGUCCCUCUUUUUGCUUACAAAAUGUUGGGAGGUAGUUAGGAGAAAAUUAUAUUUUUCAUUGGGCUCCAUUUUAAUUGUUGGCAGGACCAACAAACCAAGGAACCCAGGUAACCAGUGGGCUAAUAAUCAGGCCCUACUAAUUUAGUUGCAUGCAAUGAUUGCUGAUGCUGGUUCUGCUCACAGGGAAUGCUGAGAAGUUUUGGAACUAAAGUUCUGUAGCAGCUCCAGGAUUGUACUUUUAAAGCUGGGUUCCUGACGUGCUGGCUCUGGAUGCCGGCUUGCAGUUUCCCACUAGAUUAAAGAACAAUACUGGGAAUUUGAGUAUGAGGCUGUUUUUUCAAUCCCAUAGUUACAUGAAUACCAAGAAGUAAUAUAGGUCAAGGGAUCACUAAAAGCAUUGUCCUCAUCUUGAUGGUCACAGCUGGUUGGCAGGAGGAUUUUGGCAUUUGCUACAUGUAUUCCAUAUAGACCACAUCACCCCAAUGAUCAGCCAGCUUCAAGUGACUUGUGUCUACACCACACGUCUUCCAGGCCACAAAAGAUGCUAAUGAAGAUGUAAUUGCCCAGCCAGGGAUGCAGAAGCAUUUUCUCCUCAAAACUCCAAAUGUCACACAUGAUGUUCAUCCUGGGAGAAAAUUCUCUGAACUAUUGUAAGGCACCGCAGCUCUGUCAUGGAGCUUGCGGCCGCCUCCCCCUCAGCCUAUUUAAGUUUGCACAGGUGCAGUAACGAUGCGCAGUUAUACUUACUCUAUCUGGAAGUAAGGCUGGUAUCUCUCAUGCACCAAGAUCUUCAUGUCAAGAAUCAUCUUGCCUGCAGUCUCCUGUUCCUAGUCCUUCUACCUUUUCUCAGCCUUGCCUCAUCAGUUCCUGGCCUGCUCCAGCACCUCACUUGAACCGGCAUCUUCAAACUUUUGCUUGAUCCGUUGCUAGACAGAUCUACCCUAGCAACCACAGCUUCCUUCUCCUCAUUUCAGUAAUCAAUGUCCAGCUUCAGUCUCCAGGCUAUUGCUAACAGUUUCCUCUUCACCAAAAAUUCUUCCCCGGCAACAUCCAUAGCAACGGUCCGCAUAGCAAUCCCUCUUUACCUGUGUGAGUUAUAAUAAGCUUAUAUUUACAACUGCAUUGUUGUUGCUGCAAAGACUGUUAUUUCACCCCUGCUUGAUAUCCAUAUCAAAGACUGUGUAUUGAAUCUUUACUUGCACCCUGCCUGUGUCUACAUCAAGUCUGUGCUCAUUACUUCAUGCUUGCAUCCAGCCAAGACUGUGCUCAUUAACCCCUUGUCUGCAGCCUUCAUGUGUCUACACCAAGACUGUGCUCAUUAACCUUUGAUCUAUUGCUUAUUUCUGUUAACGGGGGUACAGAUGGUUACUCCCCCAAUCCAAGACUUUCAUGCUUGUUCCAGUUACCAUGUGUAUUGCUACUUACCUUGAGUAUUAAUUUGCUCUCACUCUAUGUACAGUCAAGUUUCCUUUCUUAAAAGAGGACUUAUUCAAGGUCAUAUCUGCUCCUCUUAUUUCCUGUGUGAAGAAAACUACUUUAUCAAAGACUGUUACUUUCUAAGGACUUUCCUAACACAGUAUACUCUCCUAGAAGCUCCUGCUUAUUUCCAGAACUACUGCGGGUUUUCCUUCUUGGGAUGUGCAGGGAUUGUCCUUCUGUGAGACCUGAAAAUAAAGAGUUUAAUUGAAUUCA